CGCGUGAGGAACCUGCCUCAAAGAGGGGGACAACAGUUGGAAACGACUGCUAAUACCGCAUAAGCCCACGACCCGGCAUCGGGUAGAGGGAAAAGGAGCAAUCCGCUUUGAGAUGGCCUCGCGUCCGAUUAGCUAGUUGGUGAGGUAACGGCCCACCAAGGCGACGAUCGGUAGCCGGACUGAGAGGUUGAACGGCCACAUUGGGACUGAGACACGGCCCAG
rnacentral:rRNA from 1 species